GAAGAUAUGUUACCAGUGUAAUGAAGUUAUGCCUCUGCAGAUGCUUGCAGUACACAUCAAUACGUGCAAAGGAAAAUUCUCUCCUGAUGAGACUGAUGAUGAGGAAUCUGAGUUAUGCAUUGUGAAAAGCAAAUGCAAGGUUAUUUGUCCAAUAUGCACUAAGGACUUUCUUGAAGAUGAGAUCACAGUCCAC